rnacentral:rRNA from 1 species
UACGUAGGGGCUAGCGUUGUCCGGAAUCAUUGGGCGUAAAGCGCGCGUAGGCGGCCAGAUAAGUCCGGUGUGAAAGUCACAGGCUCAACCUGUGAAUGCCGCUGGAAACUGUCUGGCUUGAGUCCGGAAGGGGCGAGUGGAAUUCCUGGUGUAGCGGUGAAAUGCGCAGAUAUCAGGAGGAACACCGGUGGCGAAGGCGGAUCUCUGGGCCAUUACUGACGCUGAGGAGCGAAAGCGUGGGGAGCGAACAGG